rnacentral:rRNA from 1 species
CACGUAGGGCGCAAGCGUUGUCCGGAAUUAUUGGGCGUAAAGAGCUCGUAGGCGGUUUGUCGCGUCGGGACGUGAAACCUUGGGCGUUAAACUCGAGGGUACCUGCUUUCGAUACGGGCAGGACUAGAGGUGAUGCAGGGGGAGAACGGAAUUCCCUGGUGUAGCGGUGAAAUGCGCAGAUAUCGAGGAGAACGACCGGUGG